UACAGAGGUGGCAAGCGUUGUUCGGAAUUACUGGGCGUAAAGGGCACGUAGGCGGCCAUCUAAGUCAGACGUGAAAUCCCCCGGCUUAACCUGGGAACUGCGUCUGAUACUGGAAGGCUUGAGUAUGGGAGAGGGAUGUAGAAUUCCAGGUGUAGCGGUGAAAUGCGUAGAUAUCUGGAGGAAUACCGGUGGCGAAGGCGGCAUCCUGGACCAUUACUGACGCUGAGGCGCGAAAGCUAGGGGAGCAAACGGG
rnacentral:rRNA from 1 species